rnacentral:rRNA from 1 species
GUUCCUACGGGACGCAGCAGUGGGGAAUAUUGCACAAUGGGGGAAACCCUGAUGCAGCGACGCCGCGUGAGUGAGGAAGUAUUUCGGAAUGUAAAGCUCUGUCAGCAGGGAAGAAAGCAAUGACGGUACCUGACCAAGAAGCCCCGGCUAACUACGUGCCAGCAGCCGCGGUAAUACGUAGGGGGCAAGCGUUAUCCGGAAUUACUGGGUGUAAAGGGAGCGUAGACGGCUGUGCAAGUCUGGAGUGAAAGGCGGGGGCCCAACCCCCGGACUGCUCUGGAAACUGUAUGGCUGGAGUGCAGGAG